AUGAUCCACAAGCAUAUAAAUUUUACUACUCGCCACAUAAGCAAAAUUCUUCUCAUUCGUAAUAGUGGGAGCAAAUUCAACAAAAUAACUAUCAUGGGAGGCAUAAUCCAAUUGAAAAUUAAAAUCAUGAUGACAAGUUUCAUGGAUAUCAUUACUCUUUAUAGUAUACAUGUCAUCACAAUAAUCAUCAUAGAUAGCAACUUGUUGGGAAACGUUGCAUGGAAAACAAAAAAAAUUCUACGCACACGCAAUGAUCUAUCCAUGGAGAUGCAUAGCAACGAGGGGGAGAGUGUGUUUAUGUACCCUCGUAGACCGUAA
rnacentral:rRNA from 1 species